CUCUGACAUGUCAUCAUCAGCAUUUGCAUUAACUUGCUUGAUACACUUAGAAUGCAUUCACUAGGAUCCAAAAUAAUCUAAGUAUGAUGUUGUGAUUAGUGAAGAGUGAAGGACCUGGUUUUGAAAAUCUCAAUUUAGAGCUCCAAAAGUGGAACUUGUGAUUUGGCAAUAAUUUGCCAAAAGGUCAAAUUACCAAAUUUAUAGAGUUCUCCAACCCAAACAACUUUCAGGUAUAGAUAUUUCCAUGUUUUAUAGGAAGAAGUGGAGAAAACUCAAAAAUUAACUUUUUGGACCUAAGGUUGGAUGGCUGGAAACAAUAUCAAGUAGCUGUCUUUGAAUCUUCAUAACUUUUGAUAUAUAGGCAAUUUGAAGAUGGUCACAGUAGCAAAGCUGUAGAGCUACACUAAAUGUGUAAUUUUGUUUAAGCUACUUAACCCUAAGUUCAUAUAGAACUAGGUGGAAAACUGGUCCAAAGUGGGAAUGUCAGAAUCUAAAUUUCAGACUGCAAUAUCUGAAACUGAAGAUUUUAUAUGCUGAAGUAACUUUGGAAGCCUGUUGGUGGCUGAUCCAUACAGCUAUGGGUUACAGUUUAUGUACCAAAGUGGAAGACCACAUGUUGAGGUAUAAGUUUGGUUAAGGUUCAUACCCCUGAAACUAUUUGGAACUGGUAGAAACAGUGGUCCAAAAAUGUAGUGUUUAAUUCUGGAUUUUCAGACUUAGUGAAAAAUCAAAGUCUGAAUUUGUGUGUUUAAUGCCAACUUUGGGCUUUGAUGGUUUGGAAUCCAUAUUGUUCUAACUAAGGGACAUUGUACCAAACUUGUGGAGCAACAUGUGGAGCACCAAUUUGAUUAAGCAACUUGGCCUCAGAAGCAUUUGGAACUUGGAGAAAAGGGUGAGGUUAUCUCGUUUCGAAGAGAGCAAGAGAAGUUCAGAGACUUUGUUUGAAAUCUACAAACAAGCAACUUUUAAACUAAUGGAAAUUUGGACAUGAGCUCUAUACACCAAAGUUGGGUUUGAGCUUAAGGUUAACCUUGUUUUUAGUAGGAUGCAAUAAAUUGAUGAAGCUCUUGAAGCAGAUCAAGUCCAAUUUCAACUCUAAACUAGCCCAAAAGUGGAUUUUAAGAUUUAGCUAUGUUUUGCUAAAAGUCCGUAUAUAAAAGUCGUGGAGCUUGGAAAAGUGAAUGAUUUUCAUAUUUGGAGCUCUCCAAGUGAUGUGGGAGAAUUUGAAGUAAUUUGCAAAAAUUCAGAUUUGGGUCAGUUGGAAUCAGCCCAAAACAGUUUUGUUUAUCUGUAUUUGGAUCCCUGUAACUUUUAAUCCAUGAGUAUUUUGGAAACAGUUGUUAUAACAAACCUGUAGAGUAACUAUAGGAGAACAAUGUUUAUGAAAUGUAGCAGCCCUAAAACCAUAUGCAACUAGGAGAAAAAGGUGUUCAAAGUGGGACUGUCAGACUUAUGGAUUUUCAGGCUUCGAAUAGUUGCCAAAGUCUGAAAUCAGUGUUUUUAGUGCCAUUUUGGGGCUGUGUGUUGCCUGUUCUAGGAAGUUUUGGACCAUGGUUGCUAUGGGAGAGUUGAAGAGCAUAUGUCAGUGAACAAAUUUCGUUGUGUGAGUUAGGCUUGAUCUGACCCAGAACAUGGAGUACAAGUUACCCAAAGUGGGGCUGAUAGUUUUUUUCAGUUUUCAGACCAGGAACAGAAGGUUAAGUCUGAAUUGCAGUGUUUGUGCUGUUUUUGGAGCUCAUUUGUGGAAAAUCUAAGGAGCUUUGGGCUGAGACGUCUAUAGAGGAGUUAAAGACCACAAGUUAGUGUACAAAUUCAUUUAAUGGGAAUGGGUGUAAUCCUACGCAAAAUGUGGAGAAAAUGUGGCUCAAAAUUGGACUGUCAGUUUAAUUGGGCUGAAUUUUGUUCUGUCUCUGAAAUCUGAAUUUCAGUGUAGAAUGCCUAGUUUGGAGCUGUUUUGUGAUCAAUAUGAGUGGUUUUAGACUGUAGUUUCUAUAGAAAACUUGGAGACCACAGUAUGGCGAAUACGUUUCAUAAGGUGAGAUUGACAUGGUGCUACAUAAAAAGUAGAGUAAUGUUUGCCUAAAGAUCAGUUGUCAGGUGUUGGGGAUUUUCAAACAGUAAAACAUCUAAGUCUGAAUCUGUGUGUUUUUACCCACCUUUGGAGCUAUGUGGUAAUUAAUCCAAAGAUAUUUGGGUUAAGAGUCUGUAGCAAAAUGAGAGACCUGAUAUAGAUAAUCAAGGUUUGUGCAAUGAGUUGGCUUGCUACUGUAUAGAACUUGGAGAACAGCCUAUUGCAAAUCCCUCUGUCAGACUUAAACUGUGCUGUCCAGUUAGCUGAAUUUGGACUUUUCAGUAUUUAUACUCUACUUUAGCGCAUCACAACUUUUUAUUUGAAUAUUUCCAACCUAUGGGCGUUAUACCAAAGUGAAAGAACUAUGCUUAGGGAGUAAAUUUAGUUAAGGGAGAUGGGCCUGUUGCUAAGAGAAUUUGUGACAUAAAAGGGGAUCAAACAGAGAGCUGGGCAAUGGGCAGUGUGGCUGAUUCAGUGGAUUCAGAAGAUUGAAACUAUGUUUCAGUGAAGUAUAGCCGUUCAGAGGUUCCAAAUAUCUGAAGGAAAAAUUACCUUUCUCCAUGUGCUGGCCGAUGGCCUUUAUCCCCUAGCCGUUUCUCCUUAUCCCCUCCCUGCCACACAUUUUCUAUUAUCCUUAGGUCGACCAAAUCCUUAGAAUGCUCCUGUUCUUAUCCAGUUGAGGUCUAGAAGCUUACUCAUGUACGCUCCUUCUCAUGCAAGAAGACGUACUCAAUUUCUACUCUCUUCUAUCAGUCUCCUCACUCCUAUCUCUCAUGUCUCCUUUUCCUCCCACCGUUCCUGUCACCCACGCAGCACGCCGGAGCAGCAGUAGCAGUCGAGCUCGGCAUCAGCUCCCUUGCUGCUCACUUUGCAGCACCUCGCCAGCUCCCUGGUAACACUCUGCACCUGCCGUCGAACUCUCUCAGGUUCGGUCAUCCCUGCUCCCUUCCAAAUCAACGCCCCUCCACUCGACUCUACUACUGUGUCGUGCGCGCGCUUCCUCCAGCUUCCGUCGCUGGGUGCGUGCUCAUCUUCCGUCGCGUGCCACCUGGUCGAUAGAAUGAGCAGUUUGGUCGUCCCCAUCUCGCCGUGGUUCGUCCUCACCAUGUUUUCAGAUGUGUUUGGGCUGAGAUGCCAUUCAAAAUCGAUGAUCUGUUCGUCGCCACCGGCCGCAAGCACCAGUUUUGUUGAACGUGAGAACGUCUUAAUCUGUUGAUAUGAGUUGAAAAUUGAUGUGUCGAUCUGUGGUUUGACCUAGUGUUCUCGUCAUGUCUAUGUUCUGGUCGAGGCCCUAGAUACGUGAUUGAAGAUCCUUUGUGGUGAUGAAGGUGAAAUCAGCAUAGCACUCGCCAAGCAUUCUACAGAAGAGCUCCCAAAAUAAAGAGUGAAGAUUUAAGAU